rnacentral:rRNA from 1 species
GCAUAUCAAUAAGCGGAGGAUGUGGUGGAGCAUAUCAAUAAGCGGAGGAGCAUAUCAAUAAGCGGAGGAUGUGGUGGAGCAUAUCAAUAAGCGGAGGAGCAUAUCAAUAAGCGGAGGAUGUGGUGGAGCAUAUCAAUAAGCGGAGGAGGGGGGCAUAUCAAUAAGGGAGGAGCAUAUCAAUAAGCGGAGGAUGUGGUAGAGCAUAUCAAUAAGCGGAGGACGAUCCGUAGGUGAACCUGCGGAUCCGCGGUCCCUGCUGCAUAUCAAUAAGCGGAGGAGGGGGGCAUAUCAAUAAGCGGAAGAGCAUAUCAAUAAGCGGUCCGUAGGUGAACCUGCGGAAGGAUCAUUCAUAAUCAAGUAAGACUACCCGCUGAACUUAAGCAUAUCAAUAAGCGGAGGAGGAGGGCAUAUCAAUAAGCGGAGGAUCUUGGUCAUUUAGAGGAAGUAA